rnacentral:rRNA from 1 species
GUGGGGAAUAUUGGACAAUGGGCGCAAGCCUGAUCCAGCCAUGCCGCGUGAGUGAUGACGGCCUUAGGGUUGUAAAGCUCUUUUACCUGGGAAGAUAAUGACGGUACCAGGAGAAUAAGCCCCGGCUAACUUCGUGCCAGCAGCCGCGGUAAUACGAAGGGGGCUAGCGUUGUUCGGAUUUACUGGGCGUAAAGGGCGCGUAGGCGGAUUUGUAAGUCAGGGGUGAAAUCCCACAGCUCAACUGUGGAACUGCCUUUGAUACUGUGGAUCUUGAGUCCGGGAGAGGUGAGUGGAACUGCGAGUGUAGAGGUGAAAUUCGUAGAUAUUCGCAAGAACACCAGUGGCGAAGGCGGCUCACUGGCCCGGAACUGACGCUGAGGCGCGAAAGCGUGGGGAGCAAACAGG